rnacentral:lncRNA from 1 species
AAUGCUCCAAGGUGUUCAGCUCUCUGGACCACACGGUUGCUGUUCACACCCUUUGGGAGCUACUGAUCUGCCUGCCUCCGACUGGACUUUUCUUUUCUGUGCCAAUGACUUCACACUUUUCUCGAGUACCAGAACACACACCCACCUGUGACAAGCAUGAUCAGGAGACUGAGAUCACUGUGAAUUUACACCAAAUGCAAC